rnacentral:rRNA from 1 species
UCCAGACUCCUACGGGAGGCAGCAGUGAGGAAUAUUGGUCAAUGGCCGAAGGGCUGAACCAGCCAAGCCGCGUGAAGGAAUAAGGCCCUACGGGUCGUAAACUUCUUUAGUCAGGGAACAAAGGGUGCCACGUGUGGCGCUGUGAGUGUACCUGAAGAAUAAGCAUCGGCUAACUCCGUGCCGGCAGCCGCGGUAAUACGGAGGAUGCGAGCGUUAUCCGGAUUUAUUGGGUUUAAAGGGUGCGUAGGCGGAACAUUAAGUCAGCGGUAAAAUCGAGGGGCUCAACCCCUGUAAGCCGUUGAAACUGGUGAUCUUGAGUGGGCGAGAAGUAUGCGGAAUGCGUGGUGUAGCGGUGAAAUGCAUAGAUAUCACGCAGAACUCCGAUUGCGAAGGCAGCAUACCGGCGCCCGACUGACGCUGAGGCACGAAAGCGUGGGGAUCGAACAGGAUUAGAUACCCGCGUAAC